rnacentral:rRNA from 1 species
GACGAACGCUGGCGGCGUGCUUAACACAUGCAAGUCGAACGGAAAGGCCCUGCUUUUGUGGGGUGCUCGAGUGGCGAACGGGUGAGUAACACGUGAGUAACCUGCCCUUGACUUUGGGAUAACUUCAGGAAACUGGGGCUAAUACCGGAUAGGAGCUCCUGCUGCAUGGUGGGGGUUGGAAAGUUUCGGCGGUUGGGGAUGGACUCGCGGCUUAUCAGCUUGUUGGUGGGGUAGUGGCUUACCAAGGCUUUGACGGGUAGCCGGCCUGAGAGGGUGACCGGCCACAUUGGGACUGAGAUACGGCCCAGACUCCUACGGGAGGCAGCAGUGGGGAGUAUUGCACAAUGGGCGGAAGCCUGAUGCAGCAACGCCGCGUGCGGAAUGACGGCCUUCGGGUUGUAAACCGCUUUCGCCUGUGACGAAGCGUGAGUGACGGUAAUGGGUAAAGAAGCACCGGCUAACUACGUG